UACGUAGGGUGCGAGCGUUAAUCGGAAUUACUGGGCGUAAAGCGUGCGCAGGCGGCGCGUUAAGACAGGUGUGAAAUCCCCGGGCUUAACCUGGGAACUGCGCUUGUAACUGGCAAGCUAGAGUGUGGCAGAGGGGGGUGGAAUUCCGCGUGUAGCAGUGAAAUGCGUAGAUAUGCGGAGGAACACCGAUGGCGAAGGCAAUCCCCUGGGCCUGCACUGACGCUCAUGCACGAAAGCGUGGGGAGCAAACAGG
rnacentral:rRNA from 1 species